AGUAAUCGACUGAAUGCUCCCAAUGUAUACAAUCAUUUCAAAAUAUUUUCUGCUUAACUAGCAACAUGGAGAAUACAUGAGUUCACAUCAAUCAUAAGAACCCGCCAUCAUACAAUUUGACUUAGUAACCAUCUGGAUUCAAAAUGGAGACUACUGUUAACAAUGCAAAAUGGCUGCCCUCAUGCUCAAAUAAAGAAAAUAAAGAAUUCGAAAUGGCUGAGAAUUUAAUCGACGAGGGUGGAGGGGGGCAGAGUUUUGUUUUUCAUGUACAGUACUGAUAAUAUUUAAGGUAGAAUGAUGUCAUGUUAAAGAGUAAUUAAGGCUGUUAAAAGACCAAAAUAUGCCAUGGUGUCCCACGGCUAUUCUGGCAAAUAAGGUCAUGGAAUUUAUCUAUGUAACUUAAACCAAAGAUUUUAAAAAAUAAUAAUAAACGUGAUGUGUGCGACAAUUGUUUUUGGGUCCAUACAUUGUGUUUUUUGCUCGUAAAAGAUUUGGAAAUCAAGUUUAGAAAACAGGGUCAGAAUGCAAAAUGCAAAUCAAUAUUUUUUUUUUAUUUGUUGGUCUUUGGGAUCAUAAUAUAUUUAUCAUAAAGAAUAGUCACUAACGUGGUACUUGAGUGCUAGAUCUUUCCUAACAGGUCCGGAAGUAACAAAUUAAAGACACUUUGACAUUCUGAAAACAAAUUACUUUGAGGCUUAUUCACUAAACACCAAUUGCAGCGAAUUCAAACCCAAAUUUAUUGAAAUUUUGAAAUAGUUCUCCAGAACGACAAUAGUCAUAUUCUGAAUAUUUUAGUGUGUAUUUUUUUUAUCUUGCUGUUUAGUAAAUAAACUCUUAUUGUAUCACAAUAUAAAGAAAAAAAAUGUAAUCCACAUAUUGCAAAGCAGAUGCCUAGGUUAC